UACGGGGGGAGCAAGCGUUGUUCGGAUUUACUGGGCGUAAAGGGCGCGUAGGCGGUCGUGACAAGUCACUCGUGAAAUCUCCGGGCUUAACUCGGAACGGUCAAGUGAUACUGUCGGACUAGAGUACAGAAGGGGCAACUGGAAUUCUCGGUGUAGCGGUGAAAUGCGUAGAUAUCGAGAGGAACACCUGCGGCGAAGGCGGGUUGCUGGGCUGAUACUGACGCUGAGGCGCGAAAGCCAGGGGAGCGAACGGG
rnacentral:rRNA from 1 species